rnacentral:rRNA from 1 species
UACGGAGGGUGCAAGCGUUAUUCGGAUUUAUUGGGCGUAAAGAGCGUGUAGGCGGUAGGGAUAGUCAGAUGUGAAAGCCUUUUGCUCAACAAAAGAAGUGCGUCUGAAACUACCCAACUUGAGUACGAGAGAGGAAAGUGGAAUUCCCAGUGUAGAGGUGAAAUUCGUAGAUAUUGGGAGGAACACCUGUGGCGAAGGCGACUUUCUGGAUCGAUACUGACGCUGAGACGCGAAAGCGUGGGAAGCAAACAGGAUUAGAUACCCGCGUA